rnacentral:miRNA from 1 species
GUAAGACAUUAACAUUGUUGAA